rnacentral:rRNA from 1 species
AUUGCCCUAGUAACGGCGAGUGAAGCGGCAACAGCUCAAAUUUGAAAUCUGGCCCCCCCGGGGUCCGAGUUGUAAUUUGCAGAGGGUGCUUCGGCGUUGACCCCGGGCCAAGUCCCUUGGAACAGGGCGUCCCAGAGGGUGAGAGCCCCGUGCCCGCCCGGGCCGUCUUCGCCGCGCGAAGCCCCUUCGACGAGUCGAGUUGUUUGGGAAUGCAGCUCUAAGCGGGAGGUAAAUUUCUUCCAAGGCUAAAUACCGGCCAGAGACCGAUAGCGCACAAGUAGAGUGAUCGAAAGAUGAAAAGCACUUUGGAAAGAGAGUCAAAAAGCACGUGAAAUUGUUGAAAGGGAAGCUCUUGCCGCCAGACUUGCGGCGGUCGCUCAGCCGUCCCCCGGGGCGGUGUACUCGUCCGCCGGCAGGCCAGCGUCGGCUCGGGCGGCCGGAUAAAGGCCCUGGGAAGGUGGCCCCUCUCGGGGGGUGUUAUAGCCCGGGGUGCAAUGCGGUCAGCCCGGGCCGAGGCACGCGUUCGCUAGGACGCUGGCGUAAUGGCUGCAAGCGACCCGUCUUGA